rnacentral:rRNA from 1 species
UGCCAGCCGCCGCGGUAAUACGAAGGGGGUUAGCGUUGUUCGGAAUUACUGGGCGUAAAGCGCGCGUAGGCGGCUAUUUAAGUCAGAUGUGAAAGUCCACGGCUCAACCGUGGAAGUGCAUUUGAAACUGGAUAGCUUGAGUAUUGGAGGGGUAGUGGAAUUCCCGGUGUAGAGGUGAAAUUCGUAGAUAUCGGGAGGAAUACCGGUGGCGAAGGCGACUAUCUGGCCAAAUACUGACGCUGAGAUGCGAAAGCGUGGGGAGCAAACAGGAUUAGAUA